rnacentral:rRNA from 1 species
CCUACGGGAGGCAGCAGUGGGGAAUAUUGCGCAAUGGGCGAAAGCCUGACGCAGCGACGCCGCGUGAGGGAUGAAGGUCUUCGGAGCGUAAACCUCUGUCAGCAGGGAAGAACGGUCACUGUGCUAAUCAGCAGUGAAUUGACGGUACCUGCAAAGGAAGCACCGGCGAACUCCGUGCCAGCAGCCGCGAUAAUACGGGGGGUGCGAGCGUUAAUUGGAAUUACUGGGCGGAAAGCGCUCGUAGGCGGUAUGUCAAGUCAAGGGUGAAAUCCCGCGGCUCAACGUGGGAACUGCCUUUGAAACUGGCAAACUUGAGUGUGUGAGAGGAUAGUGGAAUUCGAGGUGUAGGAGUGAAAUCCGUAGAUAUCUGGAGGAACAUCAGUGGCGAAGGCGACUAUCUGGAACAUAACUGACGCUGAGGAGCGAAAGCGUGGGUAGCAAACAGGAUUAGAUACCCGAGUAGUC